GUCGGUGGAACAUCCCGAGCGAAGGGAGUCCUGAACUGCAUCCAACAGGGGGCGGGCGCCUAGGUCCUCAGGGCGGGCGCCCUGGGCCUGGCCCCUUUCGACCUCCGCUUCCUUCCCGUGGCUUCUGGAGUCUUCUAGAUGGUAGAAAAUUGCGCGGUGCGUUGAUAUCUCUAUGUAAUCCCGACAUGUGGGCCCUUCUUUCGUAUUUCCUGAUAACCCCCUGCAGAAAUAGACAAACACCAAAACUCGUGGAAUUCUGUCAGAUAAAACCCUAAGUCUAG
rnacentral:lncRNA from 1 species